rnacentral:rRNA from 1 species
CAUGCAAGUCGAACGGAAAGGCCCUUCGGGGUGCUCGAGUGGCGAACGGGUGAGUAACACGUGGGUGAUCUGCCCUGCACUUUGGGAUAAGCCUGGGAAACUGGGUCUAAUACCGAAUACACCCUGCUGGUCGCAUGGCCUGGUGGGGGAAAGCUUUUGCGGUGUGGGAUGGGCCCGCGGCCUAUCAGCUUGUUGGUGAGGUUAUGGCUUACCAAGGCGACGACGGGUAGCCGGCCUGAGAGGGUGUCCGGCCACACUGGGACUGAGAUACGGCCCAGACUCCUACGGGAGGCAGCAGUGGGGAAUAUUGCACAAUGGGCGCAAGCCUGAUGCAGCGACGCCGCGUGAGGGAUGACGGCCUUCGGGUUGUAAACCUCUUUCGCCAGGGACGAAGCGCAAGUGACGGUACCUGGAGAAGAAGCACCGGCCAACUACGUGCCAGCAGCCGCGGUAAUACGUAGGGUGCGAGCGUUGUCCGGAAUUACUGGGCGUAAAGAGCUCGUAGGUGGUUUGUCGCGUUGUUCGUGAAAACUCACA